AGACAAGAGGGCAACCUGGCUGAAACGCCUGUCACCCACUGAUUGCCAGGUGUGAUUCUGCUGCUCUGGCUGGCUAGGUGGUAUCCCUUUCUCCCUUACCGUUCUGCCUGCUGCAUCCCUCCUGAAACUGUGCAGGUGGAAGAGGAUGGCUACUCUUGGUAGAAGAUAUCAGCUCCUCAAUCAGGGGCAUAGAAAUGUGAAAAAGACCUCCUUCACAAAAAAUUAUUUGAUACCAUCUGCAUGGCCAGUU
rfam:Cavia porcellus supercont2_22 genomic scaffold, whole genome shotgun sequence.